AAUUAAGCUGGUGUCAUGUAGAAGUGUAGGGAGUUCAGAAGAACUGGAAGGAUUGAUGUGUCAUAAUUGUAUGGAAUCUGUCAGCACGGAGAGAGCAAGUGCAGAAAGUGAGAAAACAACCAGUACACCUCUGGCAUAAAGAGCACCUGUGAGACUCCCAAGCUGUGAGCCUGGAACUCCAGCUCACGUUCAAACCUGACACCGGUGACUCGGAAUAUUCUGACUUUACCGUCCUGAGCUCCACAGCCAAAGAUGUUGCCGCAAGAGGCGAUGGACAGGGAAUGUGCGAGCGGCGGGUUGAAGAACUGCCCAGCUGACUGCAGGCUCUCUUCCUCCAUGUCACAAUCCUGCAGGUUCAUGGUCCACAAGGGACGAGCUUUCUGUAGGUUCCACAGCAUCACCUGGAAGAAAAAAAAAAACAGGAUGAAUCAAUAAUUUCUGUGUUUUACUUCAAAUCAGAUCUUCAAUAGUAAAAUAAACAACCACACUUGCCCUAGCAGAGCAAAGUGUGCAUGACUUCAAGAGGUAUAAGGCAUGUGGUGAGGAGUGGUUAAACUUGCCCUAAUAAAUGUAGCAAAUCUU